AUUGAACGCUGGCGGCAGGCUUAACACAUGCAAGUCGAGCGGGGGAAGGUAGCUUGCUACCGGACCUAGCGGCGGACGGGUGAGUAAUGCUUAGGAAUCUGCCUAUUAGUGGGGGACAACAUCUCGAAAGGGAUGCUAAUACCGCAUACGUCCUACGGGAGAAAGCAGGGGAUCUUCGGACCUUGCGCUAAUAGAUGAGCCUAAGUCGGAUUAGCUAGUUGGGGGGGUAAAGGCGUACCAAGGCGACGAUCUGUAGCGGGUCUGAGAGGAUGAGCCGCCACACUGGGACUGAGACACGGCCCAGAAUCCUACGGGAGGCAGCAGUGGGUAAUAUUGGACAAUGGGAGGAACCCUGAUCCAGCCAUGCCGCGUGUGUGAAGAAGGCCUUAUGGUUGUAAAGCACUUUAAGCGAGGAGGAGGCUACUCUAGUUAAUACCUAGGGAUAGUGGACGUUACUCGCAGAAUAAGCACCGGCUAACUCUGUGCCAGCCGCCGCCGUAA
rnacentral:rRNA from 1 species